rnacentral:rRNA from 1 species
UGGGGAAUAUUGCACAAUGGGCGCAAGCCUGUUGCAGCCAUGCCGCGUGUGUGAAGAAGGCCUUCGGGUUGUAAAGCACUUUCAGCGGGGAGGAAGGCGAUAAGGUUAAUAACCUUGUCGAUUGACGUUACCCGCAGAAGAAGCACCGGCUAACUCCGUGCCAGCAGCCGCGGUAAUACGGAGGGUGCAAGCGUUAAUCGGAAUUACUGGGCGUAAAGCGCACGCAGGCGGUCUGUCAAGUCGGAUGUAAAAUCCCCGGGCUCAACCUGGGAACUGCAUUCGAAACUGGCAGGCUAGAGUCUUGUAGAGGGGGGUAGAAUUCCAGGUGUAGCGGUGAAAUGCAUAGAGAUCUGGAGGAAUACCGGUGGCGAAGGCGGCCCCCUGGACAAAGACUGACGCUCAGGUGCGAAAGCGUGGGGAGCAAACAGG